UUGCGGCUACAUCACUUUGAAACACCGGUUCUCGUAGUUAAGCAACCUAGAGCCUGUCAGUACUUAGAUGGGUGACGGCUUGUGAAUACCAGAUGCUGUAAG